rnacentral:rRNA from 1 species
AUUCCAGCUCCAAUAGCGUAUAUUUAAGUUGUUGCAGUUAAAAAGCUCGUAGUUGGAUUUCGGAUGGGUUUGACCGGUCCGCCUUUGGUGUGCACUGGUCGCGCCUAUCUUGCUGUCGGGGACGCGCUCCUGGCCUUAAUUGGCUGGGACGCGGAGUCGGCGAUGUUACUUUGAAAAAAUUAGAGUGUUCAAAGCAGGCCUAAGCUCUGAAUACAUUAGCAUGGAAUAACGCUAUAGGACUCUGGUCUUAUUGCGUUGGUCUUCGAGACCGGAGUAAUGAUUAAGAGGGACAGUUGGGGGCAUUCGUAUUUCAUUGUCAGAGGUGAAAUUCUUGGAUUUAUGAAAAACGAACUUCUGCGAAAGCAUUUGCCAAGGAUGUUUUCAUCA